rnacentral:rRNA from 1 species
UACAGAGGUCUCAAGCGUUGUUCGGAUUCAUUGGGCGUAAAGCGCGUGUAGGCGGUCCGGUAAGUCCGCUGUGAAAGUCGGGGGCUCAACCCUCGAAUGCCGGUGGAAACUGUCGGGCUAGAGUACGGAAGAGGCGAGUGGAAUUCCUGGUGUAGCGGUGAAAUGCGCAGAUAUCAGGAGGAACACCAAUUGCGAAGGCAGCUCGCUGGGACGUUACUGACGCUGAGACGCGAAAGCGUGGGGAGCAAACAGG